GGUGUGUGUCCUGUCAUUCGGACCGACAUGGAUUUAGGAGCUGCCGCAUCGUAAAGGAAGAAGCAGUUGAGAAAUAUAUCACAAACCGCAACGAUAAGAACACUGACUACGUAGGUGGAUCUUGUGGCGAGCUUUGUGUGUCCUGCACAUGUAGAAGACGAUCCAGACACGUAGCCUGAAGGCUGCACUGCAACAAUGCCAGAGUCCUCCCUGGAAGUCAAGGACAUUUGCAGCAGCUCCGUCGAAUGUAGACCAUCUCCCUUGAGGCAGUUUAGCCAAUCAUCGUUGCCACUGCACAGAAACUACAUGCACGGUACCUUCUGCACGGAGCAGAACGUGCAGGAAUGUCUUUCAUACAUCAAUCAGGAGGUGUCCUCACUUGGCCUCCCACCAGUUUGUACGGAGUCGAGCGGCAGCUCAGAGAUGAAUGUUGUGGCUGUGCUAAAUUGCAUGUACGACCUGAUUCAGCUGCACCGCAGGGGCCUCCGGACCCUGGAAAACAUGGAAGUGGAGCAGCUUAAGUCCAGCAGCAAUGUGGACUUCCUGCAGCUCACUAGCACCCAACUAAAAGAACAGCUAGAACAGUCCAAAAGAGAAAACACAGGACUCCUUGAGAAAGAACGACAGCUGCAGUUGAAAUUGAAGAGUUUGCAAAACUGCCUGAAAAAUGAAAAAGAGGAGGUGCAAAAACUUCAGAACAUAAUUGCCAGCCGGGCCAGCCAGUACAAUCAUGAGAUGAAAAGAAAAGAAAGAGAGUUUAACAAACUGAAGGAGCGCUUGAAUCAACUUCUGGUUGACAAAAAGGAGAAAAAACAAGCCAUUGAUGUAUUAAACAACAUUGGAAGAGCUGACGGGAAGAGAAGCCUUUGGAAAACUGAAAAGACAGAAGCAAAGCAUGAGGGGGAGAUGUAUAAGACUCUGCUGAGUGACUAUGAUACCCGACAGAGGGAGCUAUUGCUGGAAAAUUCAGAGUUGAAGAAAGUGUUGCAGCAGAUGAAAAAAGACAUGGUGUCCAUUCUGAGUUCAAGGAAACAAACGCUGAAAGAUGACAAACAUCAGGAUGAUGACAUGCAGGCUUGCUCAGAGGAGGAAGAGGAAGUGUUUGAUUCCAGCAAAGGAAGCGUGGAGCUAUAUUGUGUUCACGCCCGGGAGAAGCUGACCAACAGUAUUCGUCUCCAGUGGAGAAGACUCAAGAGCCACGUUGAAAGAUUGGACAGCCAAGCGUCUUUGGCUCAGACUGGCGAGAGUAAGAACACUGAUGCUGUUUCCCGAGAGACUCAUGAGGAGGAGAUGGACAGACUGAAGCUGGAGAUCCAGCAGUGCAAAGACUUCAUUCAAGCACAACAGCAGCUCCUGCAGCAGCAGCUGAGCUCUCCAUGUGACGAGGAGACAGCAUCCCUGCUGAGCGACUGCUUCAUGCUGCAGGAGAAAGAGCGCUUCAGAGAGGAGUGGAAGAUCCUCGAGGAACAGAGGAAGAUCUUUGAGAGGGAGAGGAGAAACUUCACUGAAGCUGCUAUAAGACUCAGCCAUGAGAGAAAGGCCUUUGAGGAUGACCGGGCAACGUGGCUCAAACACCAGUUUCUAAACAUGAGUCCAUUUCCUGAGUCAAAGAAACCCCAGAUGUCAAAGUCUAAAAGUGCCUUUUUAAUAUCUAAAACAGAAACGAUUGAAGCAUCAGCUCCAGAAAAGCUCAUCAAAUGUCCGUCUGACACAUCCUCCCCCACACUCCGAUGUGUCCCACUCACAUCACCAUCAGCAGCCAACCUGUAUCGCACACUUUGCCUUAUCCCAGAAAACAGUUCCAGAUCAACCAAACCAAAGAGAAAGACUGAACAUGUCGAAGAGUCGAGCGUCUUUUCAAAUGGAAAUGUUCCAGCUCAGGACAAACUGUGGGACAACUGUGAAGACGACAACAGCCACACACUCACAAGAGAAAAGACCAGCUCUAUAUAAAGCCAAAAAUGUUCAUAAUUUAAUCAGCAUUCUUGUUAAUUAAUAUGGAUGAGUUAUGGUAUUUUAGAAAUAGACCUGAAAUGUGAAUGCCAAACAUUCAUAGAUAGAUUGUAAACUGAUUGAAUAACAGUGGAAGUCAAACAAGAGUUCCGGUUAGGUGCUGGUAUUCUGUGCUCUGUGUGACUGAGAGAAAAUCUAAUAGUUCAUUUUUUUAUUAUCGCACUGUUUUUUUUUUUGUUUUUUUUUUAGAUUAUGUGAUAAAUGUAUUUAUUAAUUUUUGUGAUGGUGUAAAUCUUGUUUUGGCAAUGAUUUUUUAUGUCUAGGAUCUUAGUCUGAGGCUAGUAUUUUUUGGCAGUGCAGGUGUGCCACAACAGAUCCUAUGCUCCAGUAAUGAGAUGUUGCUCAGCCCUCAUCAAUGGACGCUGUUGCACCUGAACUUGCCUAAAUGUAUAUCACAGCUUUUUCAACUUCUGUUAUCAUGUUGAACUUGUCAACUGACUCAUUGAUUUAGAAUAUAGAUUUAAUGCUGCUUUUUCACUCAAUGUAAUAAGAAACUGGGUAAAAUAUGAAGUAUUUUUCUAUAGUUUGAUAAAGAAAUGUGGUUGACAACAUUGUUAUUUAGUAACUGUAGCAGGUACUUCAGUAGCAGGUUAAUGUAGGAUGUUGCAGUUCAACAGGGAGAAAGGCUGUAAACAUAAGAUAAAUAAUAUAACGUGAAAUAGAGCAGUGACACUGAGGCUACACUUUGUUUAUUUUAGUGGCUUUAUAUUGGCAAAUUAGAACAACUCUUACCACAUGAAUGUGACACGAUGUAUUCUAGACAAUCUUAUAUUCUCAAAACAUUCAUUAUACUUGUUUGAAACACAAGUUUUUUGUCCUUUGACCUUUACUGGCCUCUAUUGGAAAUGAGUUAGUGAUCAACAGAACUGGUUCACCCGUCCCUUCCCAUGCACAGCGUGAUUUUGCCAUGUCGGACAUGGUCCUGGAAUAACACCCCAUAUUACAUUCCUGGACCAAUAUUGCAAAUAAUCAAUCACAGCCUUCUGACAUCAUCACUGUGCUGUUCAGCAGAGCUAAUUUAGUUUUUCAAAACUGAAGUUAGUACAACUUUUUUACAGAAUCCAAAACUUAUGUACACUUCACUUUCGCUUCCUGUCUGUCCACUGUGUCUCUUUCAAAUGAGAAAUGGCAAAUCUACGAAUUGGGAAGCAGCCGGGCAGGCAGCGCAGCACGGGCUCAACAGAGAAGCAUUUGGAUUCCUGGCCAUGGAUGUUAACCUGCCUCUCCAGCUUCACGGAUUCAAGUUUCAUACGGCACUCUGUCUCUGCUGGCAGAACCCAGGAAUGAGCAAAGCUGACUGCGCUCUUGGUCACGUGUCCACUGGGUGUGCGGUACUCCUGUCUGACUUCCCCAUCAGCCUUUCCACAGAGUCCACAGACUCACCAAUGGGCACGCAGUGGUAGCCGACAGUGACGGUGGUGGUUCUCACUGGCAGGCAGCCGGGCAGGCAGCGCAUCACGGGCUCAACAGAGUAGCAUUUGGACUCCUGGCCUUGAAGGAUCACCU